CCUACGGGAGGCAGCAGUGAGGAAUAUUGGUCAAUGGGCGAGAGCCUGAACCAGCCAAGUCGCGUGAGGGAGUACUGCCCUAUGGGUUGUAAACCUCUUUUGUCGGGGAGCAAAAGCCGGACGUGUCCGGCUGUGAGAGUACCCGAAGAAAAAGCAUCGGCUAACUCCGUGCCAGCAGCCGCGGUAAUACGGAGGAUGCGAGGGUUAUCCGGAUUUAUUGGGUUUAAGGGGUGCGCAGGCGGAUUUUUAAGUCAGCGGUAAAAUCGUGGGGCUCAACCCCAUCCAGCCGUUGACACUGGGGAUCUAGAGUGUGCGAGAGGUAUGCGGAAUGCGUGGUGUAGCGGUGAAAUGCAUAGAUAUCACGCAGAACCCCGAUGGCGAAGGCAGCAUACCGGUGCACAACUGACGCUCAGGCACGAAAGCGUGGGUAUCGAACAGGAUUAGAUACCCGGGUAGUC
rnacentral:rRNA from 1 species